UGUAUGUCGAGGGAUUCCAGUAAAUCGAGGUAGGCGGUGUGCUUAUCCUGGUUUAUGGUGGGGGAUCUAUAGCUAGCAAUGAUGUGGUAUGGUACUUUCCCAAUAGUUAAUUGGACAUG